CGAAGGAUCCAAGCGUUAUCCGGAUUUAUUGGGUUUAAAGGGUGCGUAGGCGGGCUAUUAAGUCAGUGGUGAAAGCCCCAAGCUUAACUUGGGAAUUGCCAUUGAUACUGAUGGUCUUGAGUACACUUGAAGUGGGCGGAAUGUGUCAUGUAGCGGUGAAAUGCUUAGAUAUGACACAGAACACCGAUUGCGAAGGCAGCUCACUAAAUUGUAACUGACGCUGAGGCACGAAAGCGUGGGGAUCAAACAGGAUUAGAUACCCUGGUAGUCCACGCCCUAAACGAUGAUUACUCGAUGUGUGCAAUACACCGUACGCGUCUGAGCGAAAGCAUUAAGUAAUCCACCUGGGAAGUACGAUCGCAAGAUUG
rnacentral:rRNA from 1 species